GGUAAUUUUUCCUAAGGCUAAAUAACGGGGGGGGACCGAUAGGGAACAAGUCCCGUGAGGGAAAGAUGAAAAGAACUUUGAAAAGGGAGUUAACCAGUACGUGAAAUUGUUGAAAGGGAAAGGAUUGAAGCCAGUGGUACUUCGGGGUAUUCACCCUUUUGGGUGGGAUUUUGUGGAGCGGGAGGAGUUAAACGCCUUCAUGCUUGCCUUAUUGGUCAUUUUGGGUGUACUUGCCCGUAUGGGUGGUUAACAUCCAUUUUGGGGGGCCUAAAAUGGCUGGAGGAAUGGAAC
rnacentral:rRNA from 1 species